AACGAACGCUGGCGGCAUGCCUAACACAUGCAAGUCGAACGAAGGCUUCGGCCUUAGUGGCGCACGGGUGCGUAACGCGUGGGAAUCUGCCCCCUGGUUCGGAAUAACAGCGAGAAAUUGCUGCUAAUACCGGAUGAUGACGUAAGUCCAAAGAUUUAUCGCCAGGGGAUGAGCCCGCGUAGGAUUAGGUAGUUGGUGGGGUAAGAGCCUACCAAGCCGACGAUCCUUAGCUGUUCUGAGAGGAUGAUCAGCCACACUGGGAGUGAGACAAGGCCCAGACUCCUCCAGUAGGCAGCAGUGGGGAAUAUUGGACAAUGGGCGCAAGCCUGAUCCAUCAAUGCCGCGUGAGUGAUGAAGGCCUUAGGGUUGUAAAGCUCUUUUACCCGGGAUGAUAAUGACAGUACCGGGAGAAUAAGCUCCGGCUAACUCCGUGCCAGCAGCCGCGGUAAAAC
rnacentral:rRNA from 1 species